GGGUCAGUAGGUUGGUCGUGCCACCGGUACGUACUGGUCUCACUGAUUCCUCCUUCCUGAAGAACCGUAAUGCCAUUAAUUUGGUGUUGCGGGGAAACAGGACUGUUACUUUGAAAAAAUUAGAGUGUUUAAAGCAAGCUAACGCUUGAAUACAUUAGCAUGGAAUAAUGAAAUAGUACGAUCAAUCCUAUUUUGUUGGUUUCUAGGAUUGACGUA
rnacentral:rRNA from 1 species